AACGAACGCUGGCGGCAUGCCUAACACAUGCAAGUCGAACGAAGCCUUCGGGCUUGGUGGCGCACGGGUGCGUGACCCGGGGGAAUAUGCCCCUUUCUUCGGCAUAUCAGUUAGAAAUGACUGCUAAUACCGGAUGAAGUCUUCGGACCAAAGAUUUAUCGGCAAGGGAUGAGCUCGCGUAGGAUUGGGUAGUUGGUGGGGUAAAGGACUACUAAGCCUACGAGCCUUAGCUGGUCUGAGAGGAUGAUCAGCGACACUGGGACUGAGACACGGCGCAGACUGCUACGAGAGGCAGGAGAGGGGAAUAUAGGAGAACGGACGCAAGUCUGAUCCAGCAAGGACGCGUGAGCGAUGAAGGCCUUAGGGUUGUAAAGCUCUUUUAACAGAGAUGAUAAUGACGGUACCUGGAGAAUAAGCACCGGCUAACUCCGUG
rnacentral:rRNA from 1 species